rnacentral:rRNA from 1 species
UUUCNCAUUGCGCCAAACCGCGAUGAGGGAAUCCCAAGGGUAUCCACUUAAGGCGUAGNCUUUUUCUAUGUUAAAAAAGCAUAGAGAAUAAGGCCUGGCUAAGACGGUUCCCACCCGCCGCGUUAAUCCCGGCAGCCCAAGUGGUGCCCGUUUUUAUUGGGCUUAAAAGUUCGUNUACCCGGUCUUAUAAAUUUCUUGGGUAAAUCGUACGUCUUAACCGUAGGGAAUUCUGGGUAUAACUGUCAGACUUGAGACCGGGAGAGGUCAAGAGGUACUCCUGGGGUAGGGGUGAAAUUCCUGUAAUCCCUAGGGGGGACCACCAGUGGCGAAGGCGUCUAACCAGAACGGGUCCUGACGGUGAGGGACGAAAGCCCUGGGGCGCAAACCGGGAUUAGAUACCCCGGUAGUCCAGGCGCGUAAAAACGACUUGCUUCUGUCUAUGAUGUUAGUCCGGCUCCGAAGUCCNUUNUUAGUNGNCGUAAGGGAAAGCCGUAAGCAGCCGCCUGAAG